rnacentral:lncRNA from 1 species
AGUGGAUCGUGCGGAGCAAGCAUCACACCAUGGCGUAUGAGUGUUCCUCUGUGUAGACUCAACCUGCGCCUCGCCGUCCCCCAUUCGCACACCCGAUGCCCGGGGGUCGCUACGGACUUAAAAUCUCCGCACCGCACCCUCCACCUCAGAAACGUUCCUGGAUCCGAACACUGCCCCCUGACGACCUAGAGAGAUCCCGGCUCCCAGCCCACUGAGUGGCUUCAGCCUCGCUGGUAGGUCUCUCCUCCAAAGCUCUGGAAACAGACUCCUGGGAGUGAGAGGGAGGGGAGCGCAGGCACCGCCCCCUUUCCCCAAGUCCCCCGCCCACUUCAUCCCUCAGGCACCUCCCAACUCCUGGCCUCUCUGCACGAGGCGCCUGCCCCGGGCCCCGCCUACAGGGGACCCAGCUCUUCUUGCAGCCACUGGAAGCUGAUCACCUGGAGUGAAGACCUCACACGAAGAAGUCUGGAAGAAGAGGAAGAGGAAAGAAAAGGAGUCAGGGAUGGCCCUUACUCAGUGACAUGAACUUGGGAAGAGGCUGCACUGGGC